GGGGCAUAGCUCAGCUGGGAGAGCGUCAGGUUCGCAAUCUGAAGGUCAGGGGUUCGAUCCCCCCUGCCUCC
rnacentral:tRNA from 1 species